UUAUAUAUUCAUUUUGUAGGAUCAGUACAGAUUUGUUAUUGGAGAUACAGUGCAAGCUGUGUGGAAUCAAAGACCUGUAUUGAUGAGGCCAGUGUCAGUGAAGAUGGUGUGGUCACUGGAAUCCUGGUGUUUGUGGGAAAUGUGAAGGAGCUUCUCCCAGGAUUCUACUACAGUGUUGUCCUGAUGACUGAGGUAUUUAUUUUUUUUACUUUCUUGCCUCUUUGGAACAUGUUCAUUUACGCAUACUGUGUAGAGGUGGUUCGCAGCUUCAUGGACAUUUAAGGUUUUCUGACGAUGAAGAGCUUCUGGGACAUUGACAUAAACAGCACUUUUUCAUACAACUUAAAAAAAGGUGGUGACAGACAAUUUUGGUUUUCUUGUUUUUGUGCCUUUGGAAUUCAUUGUUUUUUUGUUUGUUUUGUUUUUUCUUUUCAAAAUUACAUUCACUGUAAUGCUGGAGUAAGAUUUUAGAAGAAACUUUUUUGUCCUGUUUAAUGUUUGUGCUAGUAAGGGUUGCAGAGCUUAUAAGUAACAAGGUUUACAAAAGGUAACACUUUACAAAAGGUCUCGCUUGUUAACAUCAAUUAAUAUAUUAGACAACAUUAUCUAACUAUGUGCAUUGACUUUUUUUUACAGUAUUUAUCAAUAUUUGUUAACAUUAGGCAAUAAAAAAAUUUUUUUCUCAAG